rnacentral:rRNA from 1 species
CAGCAUGAACUUAGCUUGCUAAGUUUGAUGGCGACCGGCGCACGGGUGAGUAACACGUAUCCAACCUGCCGAUGACUCGGGGAUAGCCUUUCGAAAGAAAGAUUAAUACCCGAUGGCAUAGUUCUUCCGCAUGGUAGAACUAUUAAAGAAUUUCGGUCAUCGAUGGGAAUGCGUUCCAUUAGGUUGUUGGCGGGGUAACGGCCCACCAAGGCGACGAUCAGUAGCCGGACUGAGAGGUUGACCGGCCACAUUGGGACUGAGAUACGGCCCAGACUCC